AUGGCUCAGGAUGAACGCAGCGACAGGCUAACACAUGCAAGUCGAGGGGCAGCACGGGAGUAGCAAUACAACUGGUGGCGACCGGCGCACGGGUGAGUAACGCGUAUGCAACCUACCUAUCAGAGGGGAAUAACCCGGCGAAAGUCGGACUAAUACCGCAUAAAACAGGGGCACCGCAUGGUGAUAUUUGUUAAAGAGAUUCGCUGAUAGAUGGGCAUGCGUUCCAUUAGGUAGUUGGUGAGGUAACGGCUCACCAAGCCGACGAUGGAUAGGGGAACUGAGAGGUUGGUCCCCCACACUGGUACUGAGACACGGACCAGACUCCUACGGGAGGCAGCAGUGAGGAAUAUUGGUCAAUGGGCGGGAGCCUGAACCAGCCAAGUCGCCGUGAAGGAAGAAGGAUCUAUGGUUCGUAAACUUCUUUUGCAGGGGAAUAAAGUGCAGGACGUGUCCUGUUUUGUAUGUACCCUGAGAAUAAGGAUCGGCUAACUCCGUGCCAGCCGCGGC
rnacentral:rRNA from 1 species